AUUGAACGCUGGCGGCAUGCCUUACACAUGCAAGUCGAACGGUAACGCGGGGCAACCUGGCGACGAGUGGCGAACGGGUGAGUAAUGCAUCGGAACGUGCCCAGUAGUGGGGGAUAGCCCGGCGAAAGCCGGAUUAAUACCGCACACGACAUACGGGUGAAAGCGGGGGACCGUAAGGCAUCGCGCUAUUGGAGCGGUCGAUGUCAGAUUAGGUUGUUGGUGGGGUAAAAGCCUACCAAGCCGACGAUCUGUAGCUGGUCUGAGAGGACGACCAGCCACACUGGGACUGAGACACGGCCCAGACUCCUACGGGAGGCAGCAGUGGGGAAUUUUGGACAAUGGGGGCAACCCUGAUCCAGCCAUGCCGCGUGCGGGAAGAAGGCCUUCGGGUUGUAAACCGCUUUUGUCAGGGAAGAAACGCUCUGGGCUAAUACCCCGGAGUAAUGACGGUACCUGAAGAAUAAGCACCGGCUAACUACGUGCCAGCCGCCGCCGUAAAAC
rnacentral:rRNA from 1 species